rnacentral:lncRNA from 1 species
GUGACCCAGCUGCUUCAAACACAUCGCAAGACCAUCAACAGCUAUUUAGACUCUCAAAAUCGAGCACCGGAGAGCUGCCUGGAAGCACAUUUCUUAAGAGAGUUAACAGAACAUCUCCGGAGAAGUGGGCAAGGCAGGCGUAGGCGGAACACAAACACACACAGACAUUCCCGAUUCCUGCCCCAGGAAGGAUGCCGAAUGCCGCCAGCUUUCUCCUGGAAGCCCAGCCAGUUCUGCACAUUCUCCUUUGAGCUAUCUGCUCAGGAAUGCACAUGUGCUUCCUGGUGGACUGAAUGCAUAUAUUUGGGAGUCUUCUUCCAGAUUGUGAGUGACUCCACAGGGCAACAACCCUCUGGUCCGCACUGAUAUUCCCAUGUGUGGACAGAAAGGUGAGGGAAUGACUCACGAUGACUUAGAGCUAGAACCAGAAGUAACCUCAACAGAUCCAGCAGCAGAUCUGGGACCCUUUAAUGCUUACAAGAAAUGGCAGGCCUUUAAGAAAUGGCCACUCUGCAAUGCCCAGGCUUAUGGAGCUAUACAUCAGAUGCAGGAAGUCAAGGGACUCACCAACCUGCUACCUACAGUAAUCUAUUUUUGCCUAUUGACGUUCUUGGGCUCCAGGUAUAAUAAUUUCUGUUUUUCUCAUUUAUUCCACAUAUAUUUUGCUUUAAAUAUGACACCCACUCUUAGUGUUCUGCUAAGGUAGAAGAUAUCACAGCUUAGGCCAUGAUAUCCUGCCUUUCUCUAGUGUCAAGCAAAUAAAAUGUAAAAC